AGUUUGAUCCUAAAAUCAGAUUGAACGCUGGCGGAUGCUUUACACAUGCAAGUCGACACUUGCUGAACUGGUCUGGUGACGAGUGGCGAACGGGUGAGUAAUGUAUCGGAACGUGCCUAGUAGCGGGGGAUAACACGCGGCGGCGGCUGUCCGCCGCCCUUCAGGGGAAAAGCGGGGUUCUUCGGGCCUCGCACUAUUAGAGCGGCCGAUAUCGGAUUAGCUAGUUGGUGGGGUAACGGCUCACCAAGGCGACGAUCAUCAACUGGAUUUCCGGGCAAUAACCUGCUGCAGGACUGAGACACGGCUAAGACUCCUGCGAGGCAGCAGUGGGGAAUUUUGGACAAUGGAAACACAGUCCAAAAGCCCAUCCACGUGUGCGAUGAAGGCCUUCGGGUUGUAAAGCACUUUUGGCAGGAAAGAAACGGCACGGGGAUAAUACCCCGUGCAACUGACGGUACCUGCAGAAUAAGCACCGGCUAACUACGUGCCAGCAGCCGCGGUAAUACGUAAGUGCAAGCGUUAAUCGGAAUUACUGGGUAAGCGUGCGCAGGCAGUUCGGAAGAAGAUGUGAAAUCCCAGAGCUUAACUUUUUGGAACUGCAUUUUAACUACCGAGCUAGAGUGCUCAGAGGAGGUGGAAUUCCGCGUGUAGCAGUGAAAUGCGUAGAUAUGCGGAGGAACACCGAUGUGGCUCAACCUCACCGAUAACACUGACGCUCGCUGCGAAAACGUGGGAGCAAACAGGAUUAGAUACCCUGUUAGUCCACGCCCUAAACGAUGUCAACUAGCUGUUGGGGCCUUCGGGCCUUGGUAACAGCUAACGCGUGAAGUUGACCGCCUGGGGAUACGGUCGCAAGAUUAAAACUCAAAGGAAUUGACAGGGACCCGCACAAGCGGUGGAUGAUGUGGAUUAAAUUCGUGCAACUGAAAGAGUACUUACCUACCCAUGACAUGUCUGGAAUCCCGAAGAGAUUUGGGAGUGCUCGCAAGAGAACCGGAACACCGUUUUGUAGCUGUCGUCAGCUCGUAUCGAAUCGCUGGGUUAAGUCCCACAACGAGCGCAACCCCAUAUCAUUAGAUUUACUCCCGAAGGGCACUCUAAUGAGACUGCCGGUGACAAACCGGAGGAAGGUGGGGAUGACGUCAAGUCCUCAUGGCCCUUAUGGGUAGGGCUUCACACGUCAUACAAUGGUCGGGACAGAGGGUCGCCAACCCGCGAGGGAGCCAAUCCCAGAAACCCGAUCGCCAGGUGGAUCGCAGUCCGCAGCUCGACUGCGUGAAGUCGAAUCGCUAGUAAUCGCGGAUCAGCAUGUCGUGGUGAAUACGUUCCCGGGUCUUGUACACCGCCCGUCAUUUUCGUGGAGUGGGUUUACCAGUAAGUUGGCCUAACCGUAAGGAGGGCGAUUACCACGGUAGGAUUCAUGACUGGGUGAAGUCGUAACAAGGUAA
rnacentral:rRNA from 1 species